rnacentral:sRNA from 1 species
UUUUUUUCCCAUUUGUUCUCUUCUUUUGGGGUUUCUUUACACCUUUGUGGGGGCUCUCCCUGCUUGGCCCUAUUGAUCUUUGCCAUCAUGGCAAUGGCAGCCUCUGCACUGCCAGUCUGUGAGGAAGUGAAAAUAUGAAGGUGAGGAGGGAAGACAGAGAGACAGAUAAAAAUUUGUGUUUUUUUUUUUUGGUGCUAUACUCUGUGGGUCUUCAGUCUUCACCUCCCCAAUGCAAAAAAUUGCAGAGAUUGCAUUGAUUACCUUGGUGUGUGAAGCCAUGGAGGAGAAAGAAAAGUAAAAGGAGAGCAAUGCAAUGGCACAUUGCAUUGCAUUGCAGGCAGUGAGAUGGUGGGGGUUAAAUGAGGUGGUCAAGCAAAGGGUCAGAUCUCCUGUCAAAGGUGUAGGCCUUCUCCCUGCCAAGUUCUGUUCAUAUUCAUGAGGGGGAAAUUUGUUUGUUUCCGAGUGGUUUGUUUGUAUUUUGUUGAUGUUACUACUGAAGAUGAAGAGAGAGAGAAUGAGAGAGGGGGCAUGGUGUACUGGGAGGCACAUGCAUGCCCUAGUGUGAUGCUCUGGAGUGAAAUAUUUGUCCAUCUCCGGGCUAACAGUGUCCAAGCAUGAGGCUUUUGGGGGCCCUUGCUAUUUGUUCCAAUUUGUACCCUUUUUUUCCUUGCAUAAAUAAACAUGUUGCCAUUUUAAUUGGCCUGAAAAAAGAUAUAUCAUGAGGAGAGAGUUCAUGUG